UCUCGAUAGCGUACAAGUUAACAAAAAUUUGUAUGGAGUUGGAACGUUUGCCUACGUUUGCCGCUAGGGGCGCUGUUCCAACUGCAUACAAAUUUUAGUUACUUUUUUUCCUACCUA
rnacentral:pre_miRNA from 9 species